GACCAGCUGCAAAAGGGGACCCCUACUCCUCUGCCAUCUUUUCCCUCCUCCAUGAUGUUGCCUUUAAUUAGACUUUGACUUGACCCGUGGAAAUUACACCAACAGACUGUGGUCCUCUUGAACCCCCAGGACUCCUUGAGAAAUAGGAAAUAAGACUCUACAGUUCCCUUUCUGUUAUCAGUUAUCAGUUAGAAGCUGGAGGAGCUAUGGCCAAGAGGACAAACUUUCUUCUGUGUGGGCUCUCCUGCUUGGUGUUUGUCAUGAGGACACACAAUUCAUCAGGCAAUGAUCCAUGUGCAGACCAUCCCUGCCCUCCUCAUGUUCCCUGUGAAUCCAACAAUGGAAUAUACCGCUGUUCUUACCAUGAAUACACCUCGACCACAGGAAAAGAGGCACUCACAGAUCCGAAAGUCACAUACAAAGGUGAUUCUGGGCUUGUCGUAAAGGUGGCAUUACUGCAACCAUAUGCAUACGUUGGAAGAGAAGCUGGCCAUAGGCUUCUCAGAGGGGAAGACCUUCAAUGUCCUGCUUGAAGGUCGUCUCUUUACUCUGUAGCGUCAUUCAUGUGAGAGAUGGGUAAGAAUUUGAGAUCCAGGUGAAACUGACUUGUGUUCCGUCUCAACUCGAAGUAAGUAGCUGUGCAACUUUGGGGAAAUUGCUUGAAUCCUCAGUUUCAAGUGUAUAACCCCUAAAAUAGAAGUAAUCAUCAUACCUUCUGCAGGUCAGGGAACUCAGCUCAGAGGAAUAUGUGUUUGUUUAAAGGAGCCAAUCCCAAAAUUAAUGAAAUACCCAGUUUAAAACAUAAGUCGUCCUAUGCAUCCAGUGUCAUGCUGGGCACAUUACUUAUUUAAACCACAUACCAACUCCCCAUGACAUGGAAGUCUCUUUUAAGUUGGAAGUUAGCAAGCUUUUUCUGUAGAGGGCUAUCUAGUAAAUAUUUCAGGCUCUGCGGGCCAUGUGGUCUCUGUUGCAACUAUUCAAUCCCAUCUUUACAACGUAACUGCAGCCAUAGACAUAAAUGAAUGCAUGUGUCUGUGCACCAAUAAAACUUUAUUUACAAAGACAGGCAGUGGACCAGCCCAGGUCACAGUUUGCAACCUUGGUCUAAGUAAUGAGAUUACUUGCUAUCCCCCCCCCCCGCAAAUUAACUAAUACUUACAGUAGAAAUAGUCAUAUUUAUUUGAAAAGGAAAGUGAUUUGUUUUGCUGAGUUUAUCUCAAUAUAUUUUCUAGUGGAAUAUUUUCUAAAAGAAAUUUGACAGAAACCACUCAUGGGAGCCACACAAGUAAUUUCAAAUUUUCUAAUAGCUACAUUUAAAAAGGAAACACAGAGGGGCGCCUGGGUAGCUCAGUCAUUAAGC